rnacentral:rRNA from 1 species
CGUGUAGGCGGCCUGUUAAGUCUGGAGUGAAAGUCCUGCUUUCGAAGGUGGGAAUUGCUUUGGAGACUGGCGGGCUUGAGUGCGGAAGAGGUAAGUGGAAUUCCCAGUGUAGCGGUGAAAUGCGUAGAGAUUGGGAGGAACACCAGUGGCGAAGGCGACUUACUGGGCCGUAACUGACGCUGAGGCGCGAAAGCGUGGGGGAGCGGAACA